GUUGUAUGGUUAAGUGACUAAGCGUACACGGUGGAUGCCUUGGCAGUCAGAGGCGAUGAAAGACGUAGUAACUUGCGAUAAGCCCAGAUUAGGUAGUAACAACCAUUUGAGUCUGGGAUUUCUGAAUGGGGAAACCCACUUACAUAAGUAAGUAUCAUUAACUGAAUACAUAGGUUAAUGAGGCGAACCGGGGGAACUGAAACAUCUAAGUACCCCGAGGAAAA
rnacentral:rRNA from 1 species